rnacentral:tRNA from 1 species
GCGGGGAUAGCUCAGUUGGGAGAGCGUCAGACUGAAGUCAACUUCAAUCGUACAUCUGAAGGUCGUGUGUUCAAUCCACACUCACCGCA